CAUAGCAAAAAUGGCGAAGAGCACAGAGUCAGAUAAAGCUAUAGAGAACUAGGGCUCCAGGAGAUGGGGGCCGAAUGACAACCAUGGCGCUUAGUCGACCUCCUCCAUCUUGCUCUCGCCGGCGUCGUCCUCCAGCGGCGGCAUGUCGGCGUCAGCCUCAGCAGACUCGUCCUCGUCGAUGCUCAGGCCGAGCUUGAGCAUCCGGUGGAUCCUGGUGCCGAAGGUGUUGGGGUCCUCAAGGCUGAAGCCGGAGGUCAGGAGGGCAGUCUCGAAGAGCAGCAUCACCAGGUCCUUCACAGACUUGUCGUUCUUGUCAGCAUCGGCACGCUUGCGGAGCUCGUCCAUGAUGGAAUUCUCCGGGUUGAUCUCCAUGGUCUUCUUGCUCGACAUGUAGCCGGCCAUGCUGGAGUCCCUCAGAGCCUGGGCCUUCAUGAUCCUCUCCAU
rnacentral:lncRNA from 1 species